AGUCCACAUCGACGGGGAGGUUUGGCACCUCGAUGUCGGCUCAUCACAUCCUGGGGCUGUAGUAGGUCCCAAGGGUUGGGCUGUUCGCCCAUUAAAGUGGUACGCGAGCUGGGUUCAGAACGUCGUGGGACAGUUCGGUCCCUAUCCGUCGCAGGCGUAGGAAAUUUGAGAAGACCUGUCCUUAGUACGAGAGGACCGGGAUGGACGUACCUCUGGUGUACCAGUUGUCCUGCCAAGGGCAUGGCUGGGUAGCUAUGUACGGAAUGGAUAAGCGCUGAAAGCAUCUAAGCGCGAAGCCAACUUCAAGAUAAGAUUUCCCACCGCAAGGGUAAGACCCCAGAAAGACUAUCUGGUUGAUAGGUCGAAGGUGUAAGUGCAGCAA
rnacentral:rRNA from 1 species